UACAGUUCUGUUUUAUUAGAUGCAUUAUCAGCAUCUACAGAAAUAUAUGUAGAUGGAACAUUUUCUGUAGUUCCACAAUUUCCACUUAUUUCACAAUUAUAUACUAUACAUAUUCGUUACAUGGAAACAAGCAUUGCUGCAGUGUA